rnacentral:lncRNA from 1 species
AUGUCAAAGAAGAAUGCCAAGAGGGACGAUCAGGAUACGAGGCUUACCUCGUCACUCACAAUCUUCUUAACUCUCACGCAGAAGCCGUUGAAGCUUUCCGACAAUGUGAAAAGGUAUAUCAUAUAUUAUAUAAUAAUAAUUUAUCGUCUUUCGGAACUAAACAUUUGUUCGUUUUGUGUUAUGUUAAUGGCCAGUGUAAAGGUGGGAAAAUCGGAAUCGCACAUAGUCCGGCUUGGUUCGAACCACACGACCUUGCUGAUUCACAAGAUGGUGCAUCCAUUAACCGUGCACUUGACUUUAUUUUGGGAUGGUGAGUAGCUAAUAUCCUAAUAUCAAGUAUUAAUUUUCUUGUAAUUUAAUACAAUAUGUAAUAUAUGAUUAUUAUUAUUAUUAUCUUUUGUAGGCAUCUAGACACAACAACGUAUGGAGAUUACCCACAGAUCAUGAAAGACAUUGUUGGACACAGAUUGCCUAAAUUUACUGAUCAGCAGAAGGCAAAAUUGAAAAACUCAGCCGAUUUCGUUGGGCUCAACUAUUAUACUUCAGUAUUUUCAAACCAUUUGGAGAAGCCAGAUUAUUCUAAACCAAGAUGGAUGCAAGAUUCUCUUAUUAACUGGGAAUGUAAGUUUUUUUUGGUUUUUGUUUUUGUUUUUCUGCUUUUUUGCCCUUACUUGAGACAGAACCAAGAAAACAGAUGCCAACAAAUAGAAGGAAAAAGUUUGUCUUUGGUACUAAUCAAAAUCUAUCUUCUUUUCAGCUAAGAAUGCGCACAAUUACUCCAUUGGUAGCAAGGUAUGUAUUUGAUAGUCUAAUACUGAAUUAUAUUAUUUCAGAUAAAUAUUAUAAUCUUGUCUAUAACGUAACAUUUUUCACCUUUGUCGUAUUUCAGCCUUUCACGGCUGCACUGCCCGUUUACGCGAGAGGCUUCAGAAGUCUUUUGAAGUACAUCAAAGAUAAAUAUGCCAACCCGGAAAUUAUGAUCAUGGAAAAUGGUAAUUAGAGAGAUUUCUUAUUUUCGUUCAUUUUGUUUGAAAAACAUAUAUAAAAAAAAAAUAUUGAUCUUGAUGUUGUUUUCUAGGAUAUGGAGAAGAACUUGGGGCAUCAGAUUCGAUUGCAGUUGGUACUGCUGAUCAUAACAGGAAGUAUUACCUCCAGAGGCAUCUUUUAAGUAUGCAAGAAGCUAUCUGGUAAGUCUUAUAUAUUUCUGUUUUAUAUGGUAGACUAGCAAUUGUAUUGGAGAGUUAAUAAUAACAUUUGUGUACUAUAUGCAGCAUCGACAAGGUGAAUGUUACAGGAUACUUUGUAUGGUCAUUGUUGGAUAACUUCGAGUGGCAAGACGGUUAUAAGAACAGAUUUGGAUUAUAUUACAUUGAUUUCAAAAAUAACCUCACACGUUAUGAGAAAGAAUCGGGCAAAUUCUACAAAGAUUUCCUCAGUGUAGGGACUCGUCCAUCCAUGAUCAAGAGGGACGAGCUUUAAGCUAUUUUUUGAGAAUUUGGUCGUGUCGAUGUGUCUUUCCUAUGUUUGUAUUUUAUAAUUUACCAAGAUUCUAGAGGUCUUGGGUUGAAUAAAAGAGUGUCUUCUUCAUUUAUGUCUAUAUGAUUUGCAAGAUAUACUAGAAAACUCUGGUUGUGAAAAACCGGAUUUACCUCUAAACAUAGAAAUGGAUUAGGAAAUAUGAUAUAUUUAAAACAAUAUCUAAAUAUCUAGACGUAAACGAUAAGGCUGAUGCAUGAGAAACCAAAAUAAUAUAUUCUCCGAAAAAACCCAAAGUCGGGUAAGAUCAAUUAUAUUUACAGUAAAACCUUUAUAAUAAUUAAUCUCGGAAUUUUGGAAAUAUUUUAAUCUAUAGAAAAUAUUAUUAAUAUUGCAAUAUAUGAAGCUUUUGACACAGCGACUUAUUAAGUCACAUUUUAAUAUAAGCUCGUGGCACACGCGGAAUAUUAUAUGUUUCGAAUUUCGAGUAAAAAUGAUAACAACGCAUUGAUAAUUAGACCAUGCAAUUAAUCCUAUAUCCAAUUUUUUUUUUCUUUCCGACAAACACAUAUUAUAUCCAACUAUGGACUAAUAUUUUUAGUGGAAAAAGAAGAAGAAGAUAGCAACAGGAUACCGUAAAUAUCCAAAUAUAUAUUAAGAUGUGGUCGAAAACACGAUAUAAUUAAGUCUAUAAAGUGGGUCGAUUAAAAAAACACGAUAUGGGUCUUUAAAGUGGAAAUUAAAAAUAUGAUCCACGAGGCCUGGUGGUGGUUGGCAUAGUAAAACAAAAUAAAAAAAUAAUUAAAAUCUAAAGUUCAAUCAGUGAAUCAAAAUCGCUAUAUAAAGAACUCCACUUGAAUGUAUAAAAUACCAAACACACUCUUGAAGAAAACAAAAAACAACUCAAACCAAAAUGGCUUUGCAUAAGUUUCCUCUCAUGGGGCUGCUUUUGCUCCUAACCAUCUCCGUCUCUCCGGCAAUAGCUGAUGGACCUGUUUGCCCGCCGUCUACGAAACUAAGCCGGGCAAGUUACCCUGAAGGUUUUUUGUUUGGCACGGCUACGGCAGCGUAUCAGGUAUAAACAUUUCUUGACAUUUAUUUUUAGAUUUUUAUAUAUGUUCAUAAGUUAUUUCAGAUAGUAAGGUUCAUAUAGACGGCAUAGUAAAAUCCAUAUUCAUCAUUAUCAAUAUCACGUUUCACAGUAUAUAAAAUAGUAAAAACUAUAGAAUAAAGUCAUAAAGAUGACAUUCUAAACGGAAUAAGAGUGUUUUGGUCUUUUGCUAGUUAUCUAGUAAUUUUGUUUUUGUUUUUUUUUUUUUUUUAUCAUGGUGCUUACUUAAUAUCCCUUUAAAAAUAAUUUAAAUGGCGAAUUUACCUAUAGAUUUUUUUGAACAAUUAAUUUAGCUACAUUUUAUAUAUAUCAUAAGGUUGAAGGUGCAGUGAAUGAAACUUGCCGUGGACCAGCCUUAUGGGAUAUCUACUGUAAGAGAUUUCCAGGUGAGUGUCUCUACGUUUCUUAUCUCGUAAUUGUGUUUAGGAUUAUUCAUUCUUCCACUAAUAAUAUCGAAACUCAACUGAUUAUUUUCAUUAAAUUUGAAUUACAGCAAGAUGCAACAACGAUAACGGCGAUGUAGCUGUUGAUUUCUUCCAUCGUUAUAAGGUAUACAAUUUAGUUCAGGUUAAAGAAAUCAAUUAUGGCAACGUAUAUCAAGUAAUUAAUUAAUUAAUUAAUUAAUUAAUAUUUCCUGUUAUUCUAUUUUAUAGUCCAUUGAUUCAUAUUAGAUGCUAAUAAUUUGUGUCGUCGUAAAAAAUGUUUAUAGGAAGAUAUCCAACUAAUGAAGAAUCUAAACACAGACGCCUUCAGAAUGUCUAUCGCAUGGCCAAGAAUAUUUCCUCGUGAGUAUAUGUGCUAAGAAUCUAUACACAUUUAUCUGUCUACUCAAUCAGUAACUUGAUUUAAUUUUACUCGAGAUUGGUAUUUUCAAAAUGUAUAUCAUUGUUGAGAUAUUAAUGAAGCAAAACAAUAUUAUAUCAGAUGGGAGAAUGGAGAAAGGAAUCAGUUGGGCUGGUGUGCAAUUUUACCACGACCUCAUUGACGAACUCCUUAAAAAUGGUUAUAUAUUUUAAUGUGUAUAUAUAUAUAUAGUGACAAUUGCUGAUUAUAGACGUUAAUAAAAUUUUCUAAAACUUUUUAUUACUGUUUUUAAAAGGUAUAAUUCCGUUCGUGACUGUUUAUCACUGGGAUACUCCACAAGAUUUAGAAGAUGAAUAUGGUGGCUUUUUAAGCGAAAGGAUUGUGUAAGUUUUUUUUGAUAAAACAACUCAUAUUUUAAUGUAUAUAAAACCACUAUAAAACAGGAAAAAUUAAUUGAAUAACUUUUUGGAAAAAUGCAGGAAAGAUUUCCGAGAAUAUGCAAAUUUUGUUUUUCAAGAAUAUGGUGGAAAAGUAAAACAUUGGAUCACUUUUAACGAGCCAUGGGUUUUCUCGCACGCUGGUUAUGACGUAGGCAAGAAAGCACCAGGACGUUGCUCUAAGUACGUCAAAGAUGAAUGUCAUGAGGGACGAUCAGGAUUCGAGGCUUACCUCGUCACUCACAAUCUCCUUAACUCUCACGCAGAAGCCGUUGAAGCUUUCCGACAAUGUGAAAAGGUAUAUCAUAUUCAUAGUUUCAUACAUAAUAAUAAUUUAUCGGCUUUCGGAUCUGAAACACUCUUUGCUUUGUGUUAUGUUUAUGGCCGCAGUGUA